GCUAACGGCUGAACUGGCAACUUGGAGAAGUGGCAAGUCUUCCAGUAUGGGGAGCAAACAGCUAUGGGUCAAGUCCGAUAUCUUUAAGAGAAGUCUUAUUGUGAGGGCGAGUUAUAUAACACCAUAGGACUGGCCGUCCCAUAUGAAAAGAUUAUAUUAGAAUUGAAUGAAGCUUUGUUUAUAUAUUGAUAAUGACAGUAUAUAUAUCGUGUCUUGACUAAUUGCGUGCCAGCAGUCGCGGUAAUACGUAAGAGACUAGUGUUAUUCAUCUUAAUUAGGUUUAAAGGGUACCCAGACGGUCAAUAUAGCUUAUAAAAUGUUAGUACUUGACUAGAGUUUUAUGUAAGAGGGCAGUACUUGAGGAGGAGAGAUGAAAUUUCGUGAUACCAAAGGGACUCUGUAAAGGCGAAGGCAGCCCUCUAUGUAAAAACUGACGUUGAAGGACGAAGGCACAGAGAACAAACAGGAUUAGAUACCCAAGUAGUCUUUGCAGUAAAUGAUGAAUGCCAUAGGUUAGAUUUUGCGCCUAGAUCUUCUUAGCUUAGCAAACUAAGGCUAGUGCGGUUUAUUUGGUCUAUAAAUGAAAGUGUAAGCAUUUCACCUCAAGAGUAAUGUGGCAACGCAGGAACUGAAAUCACUAGACCGUUUCUGACACCAGUAGUGAAG
rnacentral:rRNA from 1 species